rnacentral:lncRNA from 1 species
CACCUGUAACUCACGUGACCCUGAUUAUUAUUGAAACGAGAACGAGGGCGUCGUGCCUUUAUAAGACUGCGUUAAUGUUUCCGUGGAGUUAUCCCUUCCGUUGUUGUUUAUUGCUUGUUAAACAUGGCGUCAUUUGCAAAGGUGGUUGUGUGUCUCCUCAUUGCUUGUGUCUGUAAUGCAUUCUGUUUUCCGAAGAGAGAUGUGAACUUUAAGGCCUCUGCAGUUGACCGCCAAAGUGAUGAUGUGGUUGUCACCACAACACCCGUUCCCCACAACCAGACCACAUCUGCCCAUACUUCAGCUGGUGGUGGUGCAAGUGAAGAUGCUGUGGCUACUACCCCAGCACCUAAUCCACACAACCAGACCACUUCUGCACAAACUGAAGUUACUGAUGGAGCCAGUGAAGAUGCUGUGGACCGCCAAAGUGAUGAUGUGGUUGUAGCCACAACACCCGAUCACCACAACCAGACACAACAAUCAAUCCAGACACAACAAUCUGCCCAUACUUCAGCUAGUGGUGGUGCAAGUGAAGAUGCUGUGGCUACUACCCCAGCACCUAAUCCACACAACCAGACAACUUCUGCACAAACUGAAGUUACUGAUGGAGCCAGUGAAGAUGCUGUGGACCUCCAAAGUGAUGAUGUGGUUGUAGCCACAACACCCGAUCACCACAACCAGACCACAUCUGCCCAUACUGAAGCUGGUGAUGGAGCAAGUGAAGAUGCUGUGGCUACUACCCCAACACUAAAUCCCCCAACUACAUCUGACCACACUGCAGCUACCGAUGAUGCAAGUGAGGGUGCUGUGGCUGCCCAAACUGGAACUACUGUAUCCCAUACGACUGAAGUCUGAUUCGACUGCUCCUCUGGUCACAAUGACCUGAGUCACUGUCUGGACUUUUUGCCUCUACAUGUUGACUGCAAUAAAGGACAGAUUUGUUUUUUGAAUCA